ACAAGUCUCUGUCACCUCGCAGGUGGUUCCACCUGCCCGUGCACAGUGGAAUUGGGACUGCUGCUCCAUGUAUGGCUCUCACUGGCAGGCACCACGCAGGCAGUGCAGACUGUCGCGACCACAGUACAUGUCACCAUCCAGGCAGCCGGGUACCUUGGCCUCUCAGCUCCUUCUGCACAUUCCCAAGCCCCGCAUGGAGCCCCUACUUGGGGCUGGUGCCCCCUUGCCCUUUUGCCAUCUCCUUUUUCCCUGAGAAAGCCUGGUCUGAGCAUGACCUGCGAAGCCACCGGAUCCUCACUCAUCACUUUCUCGCUUACAUGCUAAAUCUUGAGAAUUGGCUUGAGGGGACGGGAAGCAGAAAAGGGCUGGAGGAGCUCAGACAGCUUGCAAGGGGCACAUUCUAGCCUGGAGCCCACAAGAACCCAUGUUUCUUCACUUUUCCCGUUGAUUACUUUGGAUUCACAGGACUCAUGUCUCUUAAGGGCAGCCGUCUAAGAGGAUAACUCUCUGGUCUUUCUCUCUCCGUCGUCCAGGCUGGUAACUGAUGAGUUGUUUUUCUUGUUGAAUAGCGAAUCAUGAGCAGGGCUGGAGUUGAGAGUACAGGCCUCUGUCCCUAUGGUUAGGAUGAAGUCUGGAAUGUCUGAAAGUCAUCUUCAGAGUGGCGCUCUGUCCUAGUGGUUGGUUUGGUUUGGGUAUUUAUUUUAUUAGAGGAUAUGCUUGGCUUUUUUCAGGGUAAAUGACUCCAGGUUAUUCGUGAGCACAUCCACUGUUUCAUUUCUGAGAAUGGGUGAGCCCCUUCUACCUAGGAGACAGGGAUGCACUUUGUUUCAUCUGUGAAAGCCUGAUUUUUAGAAUAAAAUCUAAGACAAGCGAGGGUUACCAAGACAACCUCCAGGAUAAGCUGCUUGUCCCUCUCUUUUUUUUUUUUUUUUUCCUGUUGCUUCUGAUCAGCAUUGGAAAGCGCUGGCCAGCCGACCCACAGGGAUGGCUGACCUGAGGUUCUGCCCAUGGGACCACCUUGGGUCUCCUUUUAAUCUACCCAACACCUGUGUCAGCUGAGGGGCAGGGCAGGGAAGGGUGGAUGGGAUUUCUUUGAGGGGAAACACUUCUCCCCUCACUGAGGCUAAUCAACGACUGAAGCAAAUAGAAAAACCCUGUGUAUACUCAGGAACCAGGGGUUUGUAUUCCCUUUGUGGAAACCAAUCAAUUACUAGAUUAGGAGAUGGAAGCAAAGAAAUCUUGGUAGAGCCAAAGUCCCUUCUUGGAAAUGCAAGCCAUAACAUUCCGAGGACAUCAAAGACCUCGGCUUAAGUGACUUUACUUCCAGCGGUGAAUGGCCUUGACAAGAAGUUAUACAGGAUUCUGCAGGCCUACUGGUGAUUAUGUAGAUAGGGAGUGUUCCUGGACCAGUGUUAAGUGGGGCACAGAUCAGAAACACAUCUUAGCCAGCAUGCCGUCAUUCACAUAAGCCUUCCUGUCCCCACAGGUCCCGCUGCCUUUUUCCCCAAGUUUAUUGAGAUAUUUGACAUUCAAAAUUGGGAGUUCAUGAGCAUACAGGAAAAUUCACCCUUUUGAAGAAUACAGUUCAAUGAAUUUUGACAAACUUACACAGUCUUAUGGGGCUUCCCUGGUAGCUCAGAUGGUAAAGAAUCUGCCUGGGAUGCAGGAGACCUGGGUUCAAUCCCUGGAUCAGGAAGAUCCCCUUGGAGAAGGGAAU
ensembl:lncRNA